GGGUUGUGAGGUUAAGCGACUAAGCGUACACGGUGGAUGCCCUGGCAGUCAGAGGCGAUGAAGGGCGUGCUAAUCUGCGAUAAGCGCCGGUAAGGUGAUAUGAACCGUUAUAACCGGCGAUACCCGAAUGGGGAAACCCAGUGUGAUUCGUCACACUAUCAUUAACUGAAUCCAUAGGUUAAUGAGGCGAACCGGGGGAACUGAAACAUCUAAGUACCCCGAGGAAAAGAAAUCAACCGAGAUUCCCCCAGUAGCGGCGAGCGAACGGGGAGGAGCCCAGAGCCUGAAUCAGCAUGUGUGUUAGUGGAAGCGUCUGGAAAGGCGCGCGAUACAGGGUGACAGCCCCGUACACAAAAGCGCAUGUGCUGUGAGCUCGAUGAGUAGGGCGGGACACGUGGUAUCCUGUCUGAAUAUGGGGGGACCAUCCUCCAAGGCUAAAUACUCCUGACUGACCGAUAGUGAACCAGUACCGUGAGGGAAAGGCGAAAAGAACCCCGGCGAGGGGAGUGAAAAAGAACCUGAAACCGUGUACGUACAAGCAGUGGGAGCACCCUUUGGGUGUGACUGCGUACCUUUUGUAUAAUGGGUCAGCGACUUAUAUUCUGUAGCAAGGUUAACCGAAUAGGGGAGCCGGAGGGAAACCGAGUCUUAACCGGGCGUUAAGUUGCAGGGUAUAGACCCGAAACCCGGUGAUCUAGCCAUGGGCAGGUUGAAGGUUGGGUAACACUAACUGGAGGACCGAACCGACUAAUGUUGAAAAAUUAGCGGAUGACCUGUGGCUGGGGGUGAAAGGCCAAUCAAACCGGGAGAUAGCUGGUUCUCCCCGAAAGCUAUUUAGGUAGCGCCUCGUGAAUUCAUCUCCGGGGGUAGAGCACUGUUUCGGCUAGGGGGCCAUCCCGGCUUACCAACCCGAUGCAAACUGCGAAUACCGGAGAAUGUUAUCACGGGAGACACACGGCGGGUGCUAACGUCCGUCGUGAAGAGGGAAACAACCCAGACCGCCAGCUAAGGUCCCAAAGUCAUGGUUAAGUGGGAAACGAUGUGGGAAGGCCCAGACAGCCAGGAUGUUGGCUUAGAAGCAGCCAUCAUUUAAAGAAAGCGUAAUAGCUCACUGGUCGAGUCGGCCUGCGCGGAAGAUGUAACGGGGCUAAACCAUGCACCGAAGCUGCGGCAGCGACACUGUGUGUUGUUGGGUAGGGGAGCGUUCUGUAAGCCUGUGAAGGUGUGUCGUGAGGCAUGCUGGAGGUAUCAGAAGUGCGAAUGCUGACAUAAGUAACGAUAAAGCGGGUGAAAAGCCCGCUCGCCGGAAGACCAAGGGUUCCUGUCCAACGUUAAUCGGGGCAGGGUGAGUCGACCCCUAAGGCGAGGCCGAAAGGCGUAGUCGAUGGGAAACGGGUUAAUAUUCCCGUACUUGGUGUUACUGCGAAGGGGGGACGGAGAAGGCUAUGUUGGCCGGGCGACGGUUGUCCCGGUUUAAGCGUGUAGGUGUGUGUUCCAGGUAAAUCCGGUUCACUUUAACACUGAGGCGUGACGACGAGGCACUACGGUGCUGAAGCAACAAAUGCCCUGCUUCCAGGAAAAGCCUCUAAGCAUCAGGUAACAUCAAAUCGUACCCCAAACCGACACAGGUGGUCAGGUAGAGAAUACCAAGGCGCUUGAGAGAACUCGGGUGAAGGAACUAGGCAAAAUGGUGCCGUAACUUCGGGAGAAGGCACGCUGACACGUAGGUGAAGUGAUUUACUCAUGGAGCUGAAGUCAGUCGAAGAUACCAGCUGGCUGCAACUGUUUAUUAAAAACACAGCACUGUGCAAACACGAAAGUGGACGUAUACGGUGUGACGCCUGCCCGGUGCCGGAAGGUUAAUUGAUGGGGUCAGCGCAAGCGAAGCUCCUGAUCGAAGCCCCGGUAAACGGCGGCCGUAACUAUAACGGUCCUAAGGUAGCGAAAUUCCUUGUCGGGUAAGUUCCGACCUGCACGAAUGGCGUAAUGAUGGCCAGGCUGUCUCCACCCGAGACUCAGUGAAAUUGAACUCGCUGUGAAGAUGCAGUGUACCCGCGGCAAGACGGAAAGACCCCGUGAACCUUUACUAUAGCUUGACACUGAACAUUGAGCCUUGAUGUGUAGGAUAGGUGGGAGGCUUUGAAGUGUGGACGCCAGUCUGCAUGGAGCCGACCUUGAAAUACCACCCUUUAAUGUUUGAUGUUCUAACGUGGACCCGUUACCCGGGUUGCGGACAGUGUCUGGUGGGUAGUUUGACUGGGGCGGUCUCCUCCUAAAGAGUAACGGAGGAGCACGAAGGUUGGCUAAUCCUGGUCGGACAUCAGGAGGUUAGUGCAAUGGCAUAAGCCAGCUUGACUGCGAGCGUGACGGCGCGAGCAGGUGCGAAAGCAGGUCAUAGUGAUCCGGUGGUUCUGAAUGGAAGGGCCAUCGCUCAACGGAUAAAAGGUACUCCGGGGAUAACAGGCUGAUACCGCCCAAGAGUUCAUAUCGACGGCGGUGUUUGGCACCUCGAUGUCGGCUCAUCACAUCCUGGGGCUGAAGUAGGUCCCAAGGGUAUGGCUGUUCGCCAUUUAAAGUGGUACGCGAGCUGGGUUUAGAACGUCGUGAGACAGUUCGGUCCCUAUCUGCCGUGGGCGCUGGAGAACUGAGGGGGGCUGCUCCUAGUACGAGAGGACCGGAGUGGACGCAUCACUGGUGUUCGGGUUGUCAUGCCAAUGGCACUGCCCGGUAGCUAAAUGCGGAAGAGAUAAGUGCUGAAAGCAUCUAAGCACGAAACUUGCCCCGAGAUGAGUUCUCCCUGAGACUUAAAGUCUCCUGAAGGAACGUUGAAGACGACGACGUUGAUAGGCCGGGUGUGUAAGCGCAGCGAUGCGUUGAGCUAACCGGUACUAAUGAACCGUGAGGCUUAACCUUACAACGCCGAAG
rnacentral:rRNA from 2 species